rnacentral:lncRNA from 1 species
CGGGGUGGAUAGGCUAGGACCACCAGGUGGGGGCAGGGCUGGGUGUGUCUGAGCUCAGACUCUCCAUGGGCGGGUCUUGCUGCUGCUGCUGUGGGGGAUAGGGUUGAGGUUCCCAGGUCACUGGACUUGUGUACCUAGCAGGAUUAUGGCUGCCUCUGCUGAGUCAUGCAGGUUGUCAGGGAAGUGGGGGAAAGCCGGCAGUCACAGACCUCACCCAGCUCCCAUGCAAACUGAAGGGCUGGUCUCACUCCCACCAUGCCCUGGCCAACAGCCCAGAAUCUGUUUCCAGGAGGAGGGUGAGAUGGGCUUGAAAAUUUGCCUGAGGCUAUCCACCUCCCAGCUGGGAGAGAAUAACGCUUUAGUUCUUCUCCUGCCUGUGAAGUCUGCAUGCCUGAUUCGUGCCCUCCCGAGUUCUUGCCCAGAGGCUUCUUGCCCUGUUCAAAUUGUUACAAAGUUCAGCUAGAGAAUUCCUUCUCCCUGUAGUUUCACCCCCUGCUCCUCUGGCCACCCUCCUGAUGUGUGGUCCCAGGCAGGAACUGGCUGCUUAGGGACCCAGCGAGCUCCCAGGGCCUUUCUGCUGCUUCCUCUACCCCAUAUUUCACUCGGCUCUCUAACUGGACUCGGCACCAGGAAGAAGAACAGAACAAUGUUAGCCCCUCUGAAUCUUGAGUGUGGAAAAUUACGGGGCCACCUACCAAUUGUUACUGGCAGGAGACGUAAUAAGAGAGCCAGGAGCUGGCAACUCUCCUUCCUCUGGCCAGGAGUUUUCUUCUUACUCAUUAGCAAUUAUUUAUCUGCUCUUUGGAAGGAGGAGUUGUUCCUCCUUGCACGUGCUGUGCUGAAUGAACUCACCAGAAGGAAAAUAAUUUCACAGUGCAUGUUUUUUUUUUUUUUUUUUGAGACGGAGUCUCGCUGUCACCCAGGCUGGAGUGCAGUGUCACGAUCUCGGCUCACUGCAGGCUCCGCCCCCCGGGGUUCACGCCAUUCUCCUGCCUCAGCCUCCCGCGUAGCUGGGACUACAGGUGCCCGCCACCUCGCCCGGCUAAUUUUUUGUAUUUUUAGUAGAGAUGGGGUUUCACCGUGUUAGCCAGGAUGGUCUUGAUCUCCUGACCUCUUGAUCCGCCCGCCUCGGCCUCCCAAAGUGCUGGGAUUACAGGCGUGAGCCACCGCACCCGGCCUCAUAGUGCACGUUUUUAAAGCUCCCUCCAUGGUAGGAAAGUUUUUGUGGAACAGAAGAAAAUUGGAGGUUAGCAAUCAUUUUAUUAUUUUGUUAAAUGAAGAAAGCCAGGAAAAAUAAAAUUCCUGGUAAAGAAAGAGUUGCUUCAGUUUACUGCUCUGGGGUGGCUUCUCCAGUGAUUCUGGCCGGUGCAUUAGGAAGCCAAGUUUGCAUUUUGGAGGUUGUGGACUCAGCAUAUGAGUCAAGUUUCUUUGCAAAGAAAACCUGAGGGUUUUGUUGUAUUCUAAUUUAUAAUUAGGCAUUAGGCAAAGUAGCAAUGAAGGAUCUUACUUCAGCAGGUUUACUGCUUGAUUUUGCUUUUGGUUCUACUUAGCAACUUUAAGUAGAGUAAAGGAAGCAGCUAUACUCCUUCAGGGAAUCAAGAUAUGACAAUUGGACAUUUGGAUAUUCAUGUGUUUUUUUAGGAUGGAACCUCUAUAAAUGGAAUGACACUUCUAAGGUCCAAAAGUAAAUAUAAAUUUUAAAUUGUUCUUUUAAAUCUAUGCACAUUUCUCAGAAUCUCAGAAAAAAUAAACAUUCCAAGAAUAAAAUGUGAUUUGUAUUAUUUCUACUAAAAAAAAAAAAAAACUCCCAAGCCAAAUACCAAAGCAAUGCACAUCUGUUGAAAUUAGGAAUACAGUUAUUAAAUAAAG